rnacentral:misc_RNA from 1 species
CCUAUGCCUGAUUGCAUGUGUAAAACACCCAAAGCAAGACAUGAACACAACAAUAAUAACACCAUGAAACUGAUGCUCUAACCAGAUGAUAGUUUCUGGAGUUACAGAAUAACUAUACGUGUAAUUUUUCUUUUAUGUAUCAUUAAAAUUAAUGAGCAAAAAAACAAGUUUCGUUAGAUUUAAUUCUUUGAUUAGAUUUGGAGGGAGAACAUUACAGGUUUAUUCUUUGAGGUUCAUUGCCUCGGCUAUAGUUGGCAUGUUCUCAUAUUUCACUGUAAAUGAUGCUUUUAAAAUAUACAAUAUAUAUAAAAAAAAAAAUGUGUUGUAGUUGGCAAAAUUGUUGAAGUAAGGAUUUGUACUCUUGCAGUUGGCAAAAGUGAAUCUCUUUUUGAUGGUAUAUGUACAUGUAUUUAAUAAACUUUCAAAUCUCACAUGAGUAGAAUUU